rnacentral:rRNA from 1 species
UGGGGAAUUUUGGACAAUGGGCGAAAGCCUGAUCCAGCAAUGCCGCGUGUGUGAAGAAGGCCUUCGGGUUGUAAAGCACUUUUGUCCGGAAAGAAAUCCUUGGCUCUAAUACAGUCGGGGGAUGACGGUACCGGAAGAAUAAGCACCGGCUAACUACGUGCCAGCAGCCGCGGUAAUACGUAGGGUGCAAGCGUUAAUCGGAAUUACUGGGCGUAAAGCGUGCGCAGGCGGUUUGCUAAGACCGAUGUGAAAUCCCCGGGCUCAACCUGGGAACUGCAUUGGUGACUGGCAGGCUAGAGUAUGGCAGAGGGGGGUAGAAUUCCACGUGUAGCAGUGAAAUGCGUAGAGAUGUGGAGGAAUACCGAUGGCGAAGGCAGCCCCCUGGCAAGUACUGACGCUCAUGCACGAAAGCGUGGGGAGCAAACAGGAUUAGAUACCCUGGUAGUCCACGCCCUAAACGAUGUCAACUAGUUGUUGGGGAUUCAUUUCCUUAGUAACGUAGCUAACGCGUGAAGUUGACCGCCUGGGGAGUACGGUCGCAAGAUUAAAACUU